AGAGUUUGAUCAUGGCUCAGGAUGAACGCUAGCGACAGGCUUAACACAUGCAAGUCGAGGGGCAGCGGGGAAGUAGCAAUACUUCCGCCGGCGACCGGCGCACGGGUGAGUAACACGUAUGGAACCUGCCCGUAGCAGGGGGAUAAGCGGAAGAAAUUCCGUCUAAUACCGCGUAAUAACUCCGAGAGGCAUCUCUUGGGGUUUAAAGGGUAACACCGGCUACGGAUGGCCAUGCGGCGCAUUAGCUAGUUGGCGGGGUAACGGCCCACCAAGGCGACGAUGCGUAGGGGUUCUGAGAGGAAGGUCCCCCACACUGGUACUGAGACACGGACCAGACUCCUACGGGAGGCAGCAGUGAGGAAUAUUGGUCAAUGGGCGCGAGCCUGAACCAGCCAAGUCGCGUGAGGGAAGACGGUCCUAUGGAUUGUAAACCUCUUUUGUCGGGGAGCAAAAGACGCCACGCGUGGCGUUCCGAGAGUACCCGAAGAAAAAGCAUCGGCUAACUCCGUGCCAGCAGCCGCGGUAAUACGGAGGAUGCGAGCGUUAUCCGGAUAUAUUGGGUUUAAAGG
rnacentral:rRNA from 1 species